AGAGUUUGAUCCUGGCUCAGAUUGAACUUUGGCGGCAGGCCUAACACAUGCAAGUCGAGCGGUAGAGAGAAGCUUGCUUCUCUUGAGAGCGGCGGACGGGUGAGUAAUGCCUAGGAAUCUGCCCGGUAGUGGGGGAUAACGUUCGGAAACGGACGCUAAUACCGCAUACGUCCUACGGGAGAAAGCAGGGGACCUUCGGGCCUUGCGCUAUCAGGUGAGCCUAGGUCGGAUUAGCUAGUUGGUGAGGUAAUGGCUCACCAAGGCGACGAUCCGUAACUGGUCUGAGAGGAUGAUCAGUCACACUGGAACUGAGACACGGUCCAGACUCCUACGGGAGGCAGCAGUGGGGAAUAUUGGACAAUGGGCGAAAGCCUGAUCCAGCCAUGCCGCGUGUGUGAAGAAGGUCUUCGGAUUGUAAAGCACUUUAAGUUGGGAGGAAGGGCAGUUACCUAAUACGUGAUUGUUUUGACGUUACCGACAGAAUAAGCACCGGCUAACUCUGUGCCAGCAGCCGCGGUAAUACAGAGGGUGCAAGCGUUAAUCGGAAUUACUGGGCGUAAAGCGCGCGUAGGUGGUUAGUUAAGUUGGAUGUGAAAUCCCCGGGCUCAACCUGGGAACUGCAUUCAAAACUGACUGACUAGAGUAUGGUAGAGGGUGGUGGAAUUUCCUGUGUAGCGGUGAAAUGCGUAGAUAUAGGAAGGAACACCAGUGGCGAAGGCGACCACCUGGACUGAUACUGACACUGAGGUGCGAAAGCGUGGGGAGCAAACAGGAUUAGAUACCCUGGUAGUCCACGCCGUAAACGAUGAGUGCUAGGUGUUAGGCCCUUUCCGGGGCUUAGUGCCGCAGCUAACGCAUUAAGCACUCCGCCUGGGGAGUACGGCCGCAAGGUUAAAACUCAAAUGAAUUGACGGGGGCCCGCACAAGCGGUGGAGCAUGUGGUUUAAUU
rnacentral:rRNA from 1 species